rnacentral:misc_RNA from 1 species
UCCGGUUUGUCACCGGCAGUCUCGUUAAAGUGCCCAACUAAAUGAUGGCAAUUAACGACAAGGGUUGCGCUCGUUGCGGGACUUAACCCAACAUCUCACGACACGAGCUGACGACAGCCAUGCAGCACCUGUGUUCCAGCUCCCUUUCGGGCACACCCAAAUCUCUUCAGGCUCCUGGACAUGUCAAGGGUAGGUAAGGUUUUUCGCGUUGCAUCGAAUUAAUCCACAUCAUCCACCGCUUGUGCGGGUCCCCGUCAAUUCCUUUGAGUUUUAACCUUGCGGCCGUACUCCCCAGGCGGUCAACUUCACGCGUUAGCUCCGGUACUAAAAGGUUUUACCCUCCCAACACCUAGUUGACAUCGUUUAGGGCGUGGACUAC